rnacentral:lncRNA from 1 species
AACAGACCAAUGUUCCGGGUUUCGAUUCGUUCAAUGUGUGGUUACCAUCAUUAGUCUGAAAAGGUGAGGUACAGUAUGUCAACAAUGCAUUUCCAUCACUCCACACCAAUGAAUCCGUCACUCCACACCACUGAAGUCUCAGCCAACAUCAUGGCAGCAGUAGGACUCCUCUGGCUUGUGAUCGCCACAGCCUCCAUCCUUGUCAAAUGUGAGGACGCAAAAUCUGAAGACAAAAACAUCUACCCAGCAAAGAUCUUUGGACCAUCUAAUGUGACUGAAGGAGUAAAUGUCAAUUUUAAAUGUAGCAUUACUGGCAUCAGAGGACCUGAGGACAAGUUAAAUGUUUACCUUUGCAAGAAUGGAGUUGGGAUAAGAAUUGCGAAGCUGGAGAAAGGAGAAAAUGAUGCUAUUUUCACCAUGAAGAAUGUUACAAGAGAAGACUCAGGCAACUACAGCUGUGUUUACACCAGAGAUAAACCUGUACCCAGUCACUUGAAGUCAACAGGGGAGAAUUUAAUAGUCUUUCAUGUCGAUGGAGAAUGGAAAGASAUCUACCCAGCAAAGAUCUUUGGACCYUCUAAUGUGACUGAAGGAGUAAAUGUCCAUUUUAUAUGUAGUACUACUGGCAUCAGACGGCCUGAGGACAAGUUAAAUGUUUACCUUUGCAAGAAUGGAGUUGGGAUAAGAAUUGCGAAGCUGGAGAAAGGAUAA